rnacentral:sRNA from 1 species
AUGUACCCCCGUACAUUCCGGUUCCUCCGCGCCGUCCGCACCCACCUGACGGCUCUCGCUACGUUUUGUUAGCC